CCCUUAGAUGUUCUGGGCUGCACGCGCGCUACACUGACAUGUUCAACAAGCCUCCUAGUUCGACAGGAUUUGGGAAAUCUUUGAACGCAUGUCGUGAUAGGGAUAGAUCAUUGCAAUUAUUGAUCUUGAACGAGGAAUUCCUAGUAAACGCGAGUCAUCAGCUCGCAUUGAUUACGUCCCUGCCCUUUGUACACACCGCCCGUCGCACCUACCGAUUGAAUGCUCAGGUGAGCCAUUCGGACUUUCAUCAUGCUGGUUUCCAGUUUUGAUGAAGGAAAGUCUUGCGAACCUUAUCAUUUAGAGGAAGGAGAAGUCGUAACA
rnacentral:rRNA from 1 species